ACGCUCGACACCUACGGGAUGCAGCAGUGGGGAAUAUUGCACAAUGGGGGAAACCCUGAUGCAGCGACGCCGCGUGGAGGAAGAAGGUCUUCGGAUUGUAAACUCCUGUUGUUGGGGAAAAAGAGGAUGGUACCCAACAAGGAAGUGACGGCUAACUACGUGGCAGCAGCCGCGGUAAUCUGAGCGGGCUGGCAAGGC
rnacentral:rRNA from 1 species